rnacentral:rRNA from 1 species
AGCGAACGCUGGCGGCAGGCUUAACACAUGCAAGUCGAGCGGGCCCUUCGGGGUCAGCGGCGGACGGGUGAGUAACGCGUGGGAACGUGCCUUCUGGUCUGGAAUAACCCUGGGAAACUAGGGCUAAUACCGGAUACGCCCUUUUGGGGAAAGGUUUACUGCCGGAAGAUCGGCCCGCGUCUGAUUAGCUAGUUGGUGGGGUAACGGCCUACCAGGGCGACGAUCAGUAGCUGGUCUGAGAGGAUGAUCAGCCACACUGGGAAUGAGACACGGCCCAGACUCCUACGGGAGGCAGCAGUGGGGAAUAUUGGACAAUGGGCGCAAGCCUGAUCCAGCCAUGCCGCGUGAGUGAUGAAGGCCUUAGGGUUGUAAAGCUCUUUUAUCCGGGACGAUAAUGACGGUACCGGAGGAAUAAGCCCCGGCUAACUUCGUGCCAGCAGCCGCGGUAA